AGAGUCAAAGAAACUUUUCUUCUGAGCUGCUUGCAGCUUGUAGCAAUUGAGUAAAGUAUAUUGCUGUGAAUAACAUUUGAGGCAUAUUUGUUUCUCUCUACCUAAUUUCUCCAGAAUUUGGAAAUUAUUUAAUCAAAUUUGACUUGUAAAGCCAAUAAAAGCCCCUGGAGGAACUGGCCUCAGACCUUGUCUACAGCAGUCCCUGUACAGCGUUUCUGACCUAUGAGCGGAGAGUUUAAUAGGCAAGAAGAAAGGGAGAAGACAGAAGAAAGAAGUUCCCCCAUACAGAGACACAGGGAUGGGGGCUCCAAAGCCGAAAGAGGAGGUCCCCAUCUGGC
rnacentral:lncRNA from 1 species